GGGGCGGAGCCUCAGGUGGGUCCGGUUCAAGUUCUGGAGAAUCGGGUCCAGUUCGUUCCGACUCGGUUUGUGUGAACAGAAGGAGAAGCAAAGAUCUGAUCAGAGACACCAUCGUUUCUCCUCUUCCUCCUCUUCCUCAGACAUCGCUGCAACCGAAGGGGAAACGCAGCAGGAGGCCAGAGGAACAUCAACAGUACGAGGGAUUAAAGCGUCUUUGUGUCCUUUUUGCCAGCAGAUGGCAUCGAGGAACUCGUUCAGGAAGUUUUAGUCACUCUCGGUUUUCCAGGAAGUUUUUUUGCACAAUUUUCCUCCGAGAUAAUUAGCAGGAAACAGCUGUCUCGAUUUGGUGAGUCACAGUUUUUCACUCCAAAUUCUGGGUUGUUUUUUAUUCGGAGGGAGAGCUGCAAAUAUUUUUAUCCACAGGAAAUACCUGAUAAAUAUGCUGAAUGUAAAAUUAGAGGAGAAAAUCAGAGCGAAGCUGCAGCUUCUCUUCUCUGAAUGGAGCUACAGCGACAUCUGCUGGGUCUUAAAGGAAUAUUGGGAAUUGCAGUAUUUUGCACCAAUGUUAUGUUAUUUCUUUUUCACAUUUCUUCUAUCGAAUGUUGGUUCCUGGGUGUUUAAUGAGACAAUAAAGUUUUUAAUAAUGUU